GACGAACGCUGGCGGCGUGCUUUAUACAUGCAAGUCAAGGAGAAUCUAUUCUUCGGAGUAGUAGUAAACUGGCGAACGGGUGAGUAACACGUAGGUAACCUACCCUAGAGAUUGGGACAACUUCGGGAAACCGGAGCUAAUACCGAAUAAUGCAGCGGACCCUUAGGGGUACAGUUGUUAAAGCGGGCUUCGGCUCGCACUUUAGGAUGGGCCUGCGGCCGAUUAGCUUGUUGGUGGGGUAAUGGCCUACCAAGGCGAUGAUCGGUAGCUGGUCUGAGAGGAUGAUCAGUCACACUGGGAUUGAGAUACGGCCCAGACCUCUACGGGGGGCAGCAGUAGGGAAUUUUGCGCAAUGGGCGAAAGCCUGACGCAGCAACGCCGCGUGAUCGAUGAAGCUUCUAGGAGCGUAAAGAUCUGUCGUGAGGGAAGAAAAAUUCGGAGGUAAAUAAUUUUCGUUUUUGACGGUACCUCACAAGAAAGCACCGGCUAACUUCGUGCCAGCAGCCGCGGUAAUACGAGGGGUGCUAGCGUUGUCCGGAAUCAUUGGGCGUAAAGGGUCCGUAGGCGGUUUAACAAGUCAAUUGUUAAAGACAUCGGCUUAACCGAUGGAGUGCAAUUGAAACUGUUAGAAUAGAGUUUAGGAGAGGAAAGUGGAAUUUCUGGUGUAGCGGUGACAUGCGUAGAUAUCAGAAGGAACACCAAUGGCGAAGGCAACUUUCUGGCCUAAAACUGACGCUGAGGGACGAAAGCGUGGGGAGCGAACAGGAUUAGAUACCCUGGUAGUCCACGCCGUAAACGAUGAGUAUUUGUUGUCGGGAGAUUCGACCCUCUCGGUAGCGGAGCUAACGCGUUAAAUACUCCGCCUGGGUACUACGACCGCAAGGUUGAAACUCAAAGGAAUUGACGGGGACCCGCACAAGCGGUGGAACAUGUGGUUUAAUUCGAUGCAACGCGAAGAACCUUACCUGGGUUUGACAUGUUCACGAAAGCUCUGUGAAAGCAGAGCCCUCUACGAGCUUGCUCAAAGACGUGAUCACAGGUGAUGCAUGGCUGUCGUCAGCUCGUGUCGUGAGAUGUUGGGUUAAGUCCCGCAACGAGCGCAACCCCUAUCCUUAGUUGCCAGCACAUUAUGGUGGGGACUCUAAGGAGACUGCCUAGGAUAACUAGGAGGAAGGUGGGGAUGAUGUCAAGUCAGUAUGUCCCUUAUAUCCAGGGCUACACACGUGUUACAAUGGUUAGUACAAAGGGUCGCAAAGCCGUAAGGUGGAGCCAAUCCCAAAAAACUAACCUCAGUUCGGAUUGGAGUCUGCAACUCGACUCCAUGAAGUCGGAAUCGCUAGUAAUCGUGGAUCAGAACGCUACGGUGAAUACGUUCCCGGGUCUUGUACACACCGCCCGUCACGCCAUGGAAGUCAGCAGUACCCGAAUCGGGUGGCUUAACCUUCGGGAGAGAGCUCGUUAAGGUAGGCUGGUAACUGGGGCGAAGUCGUAACAAGGUAGCCGUACCGGAAGGUGCGGCUGGAUCACCUCCUUUCUAAGGAGUACUGUGAAGAAAUUCACAGGACGGUCGAAAUUUGAAUCAACAGACUCACUUGCAUGCCAAAUAUAAUUGGGCUUGUAGCUCAGGUGGUUAGAGCGCUGCCCUGAUAAGGCAGAGGUCCGUGGUUCGAGUCCACGCAGGCCCACCAUUUAGCUGCAGCCAAUAAAAAUUGGGGCUUUAGCUCAGUUGGGAGAGCGCCUGAUUUGCAUUCAGGAGGUCAUCGGUUCGAUCCCGGUAAGCUCCACAGAUUUUUUUGCUUUUUGAAAAUUGGGAAAUUGGAUAACUGACAUUAUUUUUUAAUAAUAGAUGUAGCCAAGUCAUCUUCAAGAAAGACACUUUAGUAAAGCUACUAAGGGCGUACGGGGGAUGCCUAGGCACAUGGAGGCGAUGAAGGACGUGAUAAGCUGCGAAAAGCUUCGGGGAGGUGCAAAUAACCUUUGAUCCGGAGGUAU
rnacentral:rRNA from 1 species